rnacentral:rRNA from 1 species
GUGCCAGCAGCCGCGGUAAUACGUAGGUGGCAAGCGUUGUCCGGAUUUACUGGGCGUAAAGCGUGUGUAGGCGGAUAUUUAAGUGAGAUGUGAAAUCCCCGGGCUUAACUUGGGGGCUGCAUUUCAAACUGGAUGUCUAGAGUGCAGGAGAGGAAAGCAGAAUUCCUAGUGUAGCGGUGAAAUGCGUAGAGAUGUGGAAGAAAACCAGUGGCGAAGGCGUCUUUCUGGACUGUAACUGACGCUGAGGCGUGAAAGCGGGGGGGGCAAACAGG